UGUGGUUGAAAAUGAGCCACCGCCGCCGCUUCCUUCCCCCACGUCGGCGGCUUCUCUCCACCGCGCGCCGCCGUCCUCCUUCCCCGACGCCGGCCACCUCCCUCCACCACGCGCCGCCAUCCUCCUUCCCCGACGCCAGCCGCCGCCUACUACCACACGCUGCCCUCCUCCUUCCCCGGCGCCGGCCACCUCCCUUCACUACGCGCCGCUCCUCCUUCCCCGGCGCCGGAUGCCUCCCUCCACCACACGCCGCCCUCCUCCUUCCCCGGCGCCGGCCGCCUGCCUCCAUCACGCGUCGCCCCCUCCAUCCCCUGCGCCGGCCACCUACAUCCAUCGCGCAGAUCCCGCGCAGCCCCAAAACCUAAACGGCGCCGCCGCUGUCGUUCCGCACAGGAUCGACCCACCGCUAUCGCUCUGCUGCCGUGUACAACUGUACACGCAGUUCAACGCCUCAGCCCCCAGGCCGUUCAAUGCCUCGCUGGCCUGCGGCUCCUCCAUGGACGCCUAGGUGCUCUACUAGAGCCACCGUGGCUGAUGGCAGCCCAUGGUGGAGGAGUUCGUUGCGUCCAUCAGUCCAACCCCAUGGCUUUAGGGUGGACGAUUUUUGUCGCGGCCGUCAGUUCGGACACCUGUGUCACUGCGUGCGUUGCUACCACGGCCAUUUGCGUUACUACGUGCUCUGUCACCGGCCUUAUGCGCACCGUGACCCCUGGCGCACUCCUUCCUCUCCCUAACGCUGCUCGUGCCCUCCCAGGCUUGAUUUCCUGCUGCAGCGAUGAGCUCCUGUACAUUGCUGAAGUUCCGUACCUGACGGCACCAGCACGAGGAUGUAGCAGCCAGGCUGGACCCCGUGAACUGUGAUGCUCUACCGAUGGAGAGAAGUGUGGGAAACUGCGCAAAUAUUGGUAUUUUGGGAGUUAUGAAUUUGGUGCUCCGUAGGUGCCUGCUCGUAUAUGCAAUUUUUAGGUGGGUGGUCCGACACCGCUGUGUCCAGCAGUCCAACACCGCCACUGAAGGCCGUUCAGUGUCGCAAUGCCUACUUUCGCCCGCGCCUCCUUCCCAGUCAUCGUGAGACCUGACGGAACAAGGCAUAACCUCUCUCUCGUACGCAGUAAUAUUGCUCUCUCAUCUCUCAUCUCGUAGGCAGUAAGCUCUCUCAUCUCUCAUCUUGUAGGCAGUACUAUUUUGAUGAAUGUGUUACAAAACAAAUUCCAUAUUGACAUUCAGUAGCUUGGAGAGAGUAGCACAGGGAAACGUUGUUGUGUUGUGGAUGACAAAGAACACAUGUGACAGAAAGUCCAGGUAUUACAACAUGGGGAGUACAAAAUUACUUUUACUGAGAGAUCACUUGAAUCCUUGGUAGCUACUAGCCAUAUGAACCUAACCCAGAAAAAAUGUGCGAAAAAGAAACAUUUUGUACUACCAUUAUUCAUCGAUGGCGUGUAAUGUUAUAUUUUCUUGCUUACCUAGCAUUGAAUUAGAACAACAUUAUCAAGAGCUGCAUUAGCUCAUUACUUAUCUCUUGUACUAUUAAUUUUAUUUUCAAAACCAAACUUGUACUGGGUACAUGAGUUCUGAUAGUAGCUUCUCUUUGACAAAUUUUACAUAAUCAAGCAUUCUUGAUGUGCUGCCUUUCUUCCAGAUAUAUAGAUUCAGUUUUGAAUCCGAUUAUCAAAUUAGACAAUCAUAAUUCUAUUGACAGUUCUGAAACAAAGAAAUGUUUGCGUAACGGUCCCAUAAACAGCACCAAAACGAAUCCCCAUCCUUGGUAACUUGCUGGCUCUGAUCUUCCAGGGCAACAUGAAUGAUCAGCACUCCCUUUAAUCAAUGCACGCUCAUCGAGCCAUAGUAGCAUCUCAUUUGUCCUAAAUUCUUCCACUCUUUGGAAACAAAGUCCCGGAAUGGAUGUGGAUAGAGUAUACUCAAAUGGUUUCGCGAGAAAUCGUACAAUAAGAGUACCGUUCACUAUGCAUUUUAUCAUCAGUUAAAAAAUAAUCACAGAAAAAGUUCAAUUUGUGUUAUUGAAACAACUCAAUUUAUAAGUAUUAUAUUAUAUGAUAAGUGAUGCAUAGGGAUGUUGCAACAGUUCGACUCACAGAGCUAGUAAGUUCGACGAAAAAACAGCACAAGGCAUGUCAGUUCACGCAGAGCAUAUCAGUCUUUCAGUUUCCUGAGCUCGCCAGUUCACCGAUGGGAUCCGCAGCUCCCAGGCGGUUCACAGCCGCCGCCCUAGUCCGUUCGUCACUGCCAAUCGAGGUCGUUCGACAAUGCAGCGUUGAGGUCGGUCAACGACGCAAUGUGGCCAUGGAUGCGCCCAAUGAAGGACAGCGAAAGGCAAAAAACAAACUAGUGCAGCUGCUUGCCUCCUCUUCAUAUCCCAUACUAGAAAACAUCCUUCGCCCCCUCUGUUUUCUUAAAUCCAGCGACCGGUGCCGCCCGCGCACCCAACAACCGGCGCCGCCCCCGAACCCAGCCACCGGCAUCGGCCCCGGACCCAACCACCACUGGUGCCCUCGGACCCAGCCACCACCGCCGCCCCCCGGACCCAGCCACCGCCGCCGCCCUCGGACCCAGCCACCACCGUCGCACUCCGACCAGCCACCUCCGCCGCCCCCAAACCUAUCCACCUCCAUGGGCAACUAUUCCCGGCACUCUGCACCCCCCCUGCGCACCCAUCUCCCGCCGUCCGACGCACUGCUUCCAACCUGCGUGGCCGAGAACCAGCCCCCAGCGCCCCUACGCACUACUUCCUCCCUUGCCCGUCCUGGUAUGGCGGUCACGCCAGUUCAGCUCUUCCUCCCUUCUCCAUCCGAGCUCUCCUGCCAUGCUCCUUUACGCACGAGCUUCUGCCAGCACCAGUGCACGCCGCUACACUGGUUCUUUUGGGGUGCAGUCAUCUGACUUUAUUUUGUUUCCUAUUAUACAAGUUCAGAUGAGGUUCCUUGCUACCUGAUGGAUAUGUGAUAAAGGUAUUGGUCCUCAGUGUUCCUAUUUGGCAUAUGCAAGUUGUUUGAUGUAAUGUCAUAAAUUCAUAACGAAAAAAGCAGGAAUAGUUCAAAACUUGUGUGUUAAAAACAGAACAGUAUAGAUAAACUUCCGUAUCAGUUCGAUGGAAUAAAUCACAUCAGUUCUGACUCGGACCGGCUGUUGCCUACAAUGCAUUGAAAAUAAAAUUUUGAAUCAAAUCAAUCUAGUAGUUCUAUAUUGUCUUAAAGUUUUCGUAUAUUUAUGUUACUGAUGAUGCUCUGAACUGAGCAAGAGUGCUGGGUAAUAAGUGUGCCUUUGGUUUAAUAUUGAAAGAUCUGUUCGCUGACUUAUUGUAGCAAAAUCUCAUGGAAGUGUGUGUUGAUGGCUUCAACUAAUUUAACGCCUGCAUACAGGAUGGUGGCAGUGGUGGCGCAGAAUUGGAGAAAGAAAAAGAGGAAAGCCGUCCAAAAAACUUAACAUUUUUCUCAUGCUUUUGUCUAGCUGAAAUGAAGCAAGACUAAUGUACUACACUUGAUCUCUCUGCACAACAGGUUCAUGCACAUCGACGACGUCGCCAUGCGUGCAUGCUCCAACCUGUCCCCUGUCGCAGCCCCAUCACUCGUUGCUGAUGCACUCCACAACCCCGAGGACCUCCAUGAUGGAGGUCGCCUAGCAGCCUAGCGACGAGAAUCAAGAAGCCCAAUCAUCAUCAGGGAUGAAAAAAAGGAGAGAAGCAUGGGAAGAGGUCCUGGUAGAAGAGGAAGAAGUAAUGUGAAAAAUGAGAUAAAUGUGAGAAUAGCAAGUAGUAAAGCAUGAGAGGGAUUCAGAUUCUAUUUUCACAUUCUUUCUGUACACGUACCUUUAGUCUGUAGAUGCACCGUAAUGGAUCUAGGAAGUGUGAAUGGUUAAUACCUCAAUGGUGCACUAUGCAUCUUUGGCAGGUUUUUAUGCAGUUUUAAAUGGUUGUGGAGCAAUUUAAUGGUGCGCUAUGUACUGAAGUAUACAUUGUUUACAUGUUCUUGUACAUCGGCUCA